GCUGGGCACAGUGGCACAUGCCUGUGAUCCCAUCUACUUGGGAGGCUGAGGCAGGAGGAUCGAAAGUUCAAGGUCAGCCUGAGCAACUUAGUGAGAUUCUGUCUCAG
rnacentral:sRNA from 1 species